rnacentral:rRNA from 1 species
UGUUAUCACGGGAGACACACGGCGGGUGCUAACGUCCGUCGUGAAGAGGGAAACAACCCAGACCGCCAGCUAAGGUCCCAAAGUCAUGGUUAAGUGGGAAACGAUGUGGGAAGGCCCAGACAGCCAGGAUGUUGGCUUAGAAGCAGCCAUCAUUUAAAGAAAGCGUAAUAGCUCACUGGUCGAGUCGGCCUGCGCGGAAGAUGUAACGGGGCUAAACCAUGCACCGAAGCUGCGGCAGCGAACGUAUCACCCAAGACAACUUUACGGAGUUGACGAUUGACGGAGCGAAGCGACGUCAAAGCGUUCAUUAAAGUCGAGUUGGCUUAGGGAUACGUUCGUUGGGUAGGGGAGCGUUCUGUAAGCCUGUGAAGGUGUGUCGUGAGGCAUGCUGGAGGUAUCAGAAGUGCGAAUGCUGACAUAAGUAACGAUAAAGCGGGUGAAAAGCCCGCUCGCCGGAAGACCAAGGGUUCCUGUCCAACGUUAAUCGGGGCAGGGUGAGUCGACCCCUAAGGCGAGGCCGAAAGGCGUAGUCGAUGGGAAACGGGUUAAUAUUCCCGUACUUGGUGUUACUGCGAAGGGGGGACGGAGAAGGCUAUGUUGGCCGGGCGACGGUUGUCCCGGUUUAAGCGUGUAGGUGUGUGUUCCAGGUAAAUCCGGUUCACUUUAACACUGAGGCGUGAUGACGAGGCACUACGGUGCUGAAGCAACAAAUGCCCUGCUUCCAGGAAAAGCCUCUAAGCAUCAGGUAACAUCAAAUCGUACCCCAAACCGACACAGGUGGUCAGGUAGAGAAUACCAAGGCGCUUGAGAGAACUCGGGUGAAGGAACUAGGCAAAAUGGUGCCGUAACUUCGGGAGAAGGCACGCUGACACGUAGGUGAAGUGAUUUACUCACGGAGCUGAAGUCAGUCGAAGAUACCAGCUGGCUGCAACUGUUUAUUAAAAACACAGCACUGUGCAAACACGAAAGUGGACGUAUACGGUGUGACGCCUGCCCGGUGCCGGAAGGUUAAUUGAUGGGGUCAGCGCAAGCGAAGCUCCUGAUCGAAGCCCCGGUAAACGGCGGCCGUAACUAUAACGGUCCUAAGGUAGCGAAAUUCCUUGUCGGGUAAGUUCCGACCUGCACGAAUGGCGUAAUG